rnacentral:misc_RNA from 1 species
GAUGAAGAACGUAGCGAAAUGCGAUAAGUAGUGUGAAUUGCAGAAUUCAGUGAAUCAUCGAAUCUUUGAACGCACAUUGCGCCCCUUGGUAUUCCAUGGGGCAUGCCUGUUCGAGCGUCAUUUGUACCUUCAAGCUUUGCUUGGUGUUGGGUGUUUGUCCUGAGGGACUCGCCUUAAAGUAAUUGGCAGCCAGUGUUUGGUUUUGAAGCGCAGCACAAGUCGCGAUUCAAAGCUAUACGCCCGCUUCCACAAGCCUUUUUCACUUUUGACCUCAGAUCAGGUAGGGAUACCCGCUGAACUUAAGCAUAUCAAUAAGCGGAGA